rnacentral:rRNA from 1 species
UGUUGCCUACGGGGGGCAGCAGUGGGGAAUAUUGCACAAUGGGGGGAACCCUGAUGCAGCGACGCCGCGUGAGUGAAGAAGUAUUUCGGUAUGUAAAGCUCUGUCAGCAGGGAAGAGGAAAGACGGUACCUGACCAAGAAGCCCCGGCUAACUACGUGCCAGCAGCCGCGGUAAUACGUAGGGGGCUAGCGUUAUCCGGAAUUACUGGGCGUAAAGGGUGCGUAGGUGGUUUCUUAGGUCAGAGGUGAAAGGCUACGGCUCAACCGUAGUAAGCCUUUGAAACUGGGGAACUUGAGUGCAGGAGA